GUGGGGAAUAUUGGACAAUGGGCGCAAGCCUGAUCCAGCAAUGCCGCGUGUGUGAAGAAGGCCUUCGGGUUGUAAAGCACUUUUGUUAGGGAGGAAAGUCUUGUAGCUAAUAACUGCGAGAUAUGACGUUACCUAAAGAAUCAGCACCGGCUAACUCUGUGCCAGCAGCCGCGGUAAUACAGAGGGUGCAAGCGUUAAUCGGAAUUACUGGGCGUAAAGGGUCUGUAGGCGGAUUAUUAAGUCGGAUGUGAAAUCCCCGGGCUCAACCUGGGAACGGCAUUCGAUACUGGUAGUCUAGAGUGUGCAAGAGGAUGGGGGAAUUCCUGGUGUAGCAGUGAAAUGCGUAGAGAUCAGGAGGAACAUCAAUGGCGAAGGCACCUUUCUGGGGCAACACUGACGCUGAGAGACGAAAGCGUGGGGAUCAAACAGGAUUAGAUACCCUUGUAGUCC
rnacentral:rRNA from 1 species